AUCCAGGUGACGAGUCCCAAAUAGGACGAAACGCGCGUUCUGGAU
rnacentral:hammerhead_ribozyme from 1 species